GGAGGAUAUCAUAUAUAUGCAACAACUGAAGGGGUUUGAAGACCCUCUUCAUCCUACUUAUGUCUAUAAACUUCAGAAUUCACUAUAUGGUCUAAAGCAGACUCCCAAAGCCUGUCUAUGUAGAGAUUGAAGUGGCUUCAAUCUCUAUGUCAGGAGAUUGGCCAAACUGUUCCUACUCCUCACCAAGUGUACACCAAUGCGGUUGCCUUGUCCGCAAAUCCGGUCUUCCACUCACGUACCAAACAUAUUGAGGUCGACGUCCAUUUUGUGCGUGAAAAAGUUAUGGCAAAGGUCAUAAAAGUUGGUAAUGUUCCUACCUCCAAUCAAAUAGUUGAUGUGUUCACUAAGUCUCUUCCUGAACACCGAUUUUUUCUUUUGAGAAGCAAACUUCGGCUUCUUCAACCGGGAUAAAAGUUUUUCUUAAAGGUGUGUUUACUUUGGUAGUAAAAUUUUCAUUUGAAAAGUAUGGAUAAGAAAAUGUGAGAUAAUAUAUUUUUCUCUUUUUU